rnacentral:tRNA from 1 species
GAGGGUAGAGCUCAGUGGUAGAGUGAGUGCUUAGCAUGCACAAGGUCCUGAGUUCAAUCCCUAGUACCUCCA